GAGGCCUAACACAUGCAAGUCGAGCGCUCUCUUCGGAGGGAGCGGCGGACGGGUGAGUAACGCGUGGGAACGUGCCCUUUGGUUCGGAACAGCCCCUGGAAACGGGGAUUAAUUCCGGAUGAGCCCUUCGGGGGAAAGACUUCGGUCGCCAAGGGAUCGGCCCGCGUCGGAUUAGGUAGUUGGUGGGGUAACGGCCUACCAAGCCGACGAUCCGUACCUGGUUUGAGAGGAUGAUCAGGCACACUGGGACUGAGACACGGCCCAGACUCCUACGGGAGGCAGCAGUGGGGAAUCUUGGACAAUGGGGGCAACCCUGAUCCAGCCAUGCCGCGUGAACGAUGAAGGCCUUAGGGUUGUAAAGUUCUUUCGCCGGUGAAGAUAAUGACGGUAGCCGGAGAAGAAGCCCCGGCUAACUCCGUGCCAGCAGCCGCGGUAAUACGGAGGGGGCUAGCGUUGUUCGGAAUUACUGGGCGUAAGCGCACGUAGGCGGACCAGUCAGUCAGGGGUGAAAUCCCGGGGCUCAACCCCGGAACUGCCUUUGAUACUGCUGGUCUGGAGGACAGGAGAGGCGAGCGGAAUUCCGAGUGUAGAGGUGAAAUUCGUAGAUAUUCGGAGGAACACCCGUGGCGAAGGCGGCUCGCUGGCCUGUAUCUGACGCU
rnacentral:rRNA from 1 species